GGGGAUAUAGCUCAGUGGUAGAGUGCAUGCUCAGCAUGCACGAGGUCCUCGGUUCAAUCCCCGGUAUCUCCA
rnacentral:tRNA from 1 species